rnacentral:piRNA from 1 species
UGAGUGUCAGUUGGUGAGGACCAUGGA